UACAGAGGGUGCAAGCGUUAAUCGGAAUUACUGGGCGUAAAGCGUGCGCAGGCGGUCUUGCAAGACAGAUGUGAAAUCCCCGGGCUCAACCUGGGAACUGCAUUUGUGACUGCAAGGCUGGAGUACGGUAGAGGGGGAUGGAAUUCCGCGUGUAGCAGUGAAAUGCGUAGAUAUGCGGAGGAACACCGAUGGCGAAGGCAAUCCCCUGGACCUGUACUGACGCUCAUGCACGAAAGCGUGGGGAGCAAACAGG
rnacentral:rRNA from 1 species